rnacentral:rRNA from 1 species
CCUUCGGGGUGCAGCAGUGGGGAAUAUUGGACAAUGGGCGAAAGCCUGAUCCAGCCAUGCCGCGUGUGUGAAGAAGGCCUUCGGGUUGUAAAGCACUUUCAGUGGGGAAGAAAGCCUUGGGGCUAAUACCCUCGAGGAAGGACAUCACCCACAGAAGAAGCACCGGCUAACUCCGUGCCAGCAGCCGCGGUAAUACGGAGGGUGCGAGCGUUAAUCGGAAUUACUGGGCGUAAAGCGCGCGUAGGCGGUCUGAUAAGCCGGUUGUGAAAGCCCCGGGCUCAACCUGGGAACGGCAUCCGGAACUGUCAGGCUAGAGUGCAGGAGAGGAAGGUAGAAUUCCCGGUGUAGCGGUGAAAUGCGUAGAGAUCGGGAGGAAUACCAGUGGCGAAGGCGGCCUUCUGGACUGACACUGACGCUGAGGUGCGAAAGCGUGGGUAGCAAACAGGAUUAGAUACCCUUGUAGUC